GCGACAGUCAACCUGCCGCCACCCCGAGGUUCCGGAGGCGCGGGUCGCACGGAUUGGGGACCUCCCUGACCGGCGGACUGGGGGCAACCCCUUCCUUGACCUCACUCCCUCCACUACUCAUCUUCAGGGUGGAUCCCCCCCUCAUCACCCCCUCCGUGGCGCCGCCCUCCGGCGACGCAUCGGAGACCAUUUCAGAUCCAGGUUUGGGCCCCUACACCCACUGCCGCGGCUCCGGCGAAUCUGGAUCCGGG
rnacentral:misc_RNA from 1 species